GACGAACGCUGGCGGCGUGCUUAACACAUGCAAGUCGAACGAUGAAGCCCAGCUUGCUGGGUGGAUUAGUGGCGAACGGGUGAGUAACACGUGGGUGAUCUGCCCUGCACUCUGGGAUAAGCCUGGGAAACUGGGUCUAAUACCGGAUAUGACCUCUUGCUGCAUGGCGAGGGGUGGAAAGUUUUUCGGUGCAGGAUGAGCCCGCGGCCUAUCAGCUUGUUGGUGGGGUAAUGGCCUACCAAGGCGACGACGGGUAGCCGGCCUGAGAGGGCGACCGGCCACACUGGGACUGAGACACGGCCCAGACUCCUACGGGAGGCAGCAGUGGGGAAUAUUGCACAAUGGGCGAAAGCCUGAUGCAGCGACGCCG
rnacentral:rRNA from 1 species